rnacentral:lncRNA from 1 species
GAUUGUAUCUUUAUUGUGCUCAUCACGUAAGGAACCUUUGAGGAAUGCUUUGAAUUGUUGUAUGCGUUUUUCCAUCCAAUUCAUUAACUUAAGGAGAACUUGAAGGUUAAUUUAAGCGUAUCUAAUUAACUUGGGGUGUUGAGUUUCAUAAUUUAUUGAAAGAACAACUGAAAAUCAAUUUAGGUUGCAUAUGUGUCAUGUGUGGAGAAGAACCCUCUAGCUA